rnacentral:lncRNA from 1 species
CCUCAGCCGGAACCCAAACCUGAACCGAAACCAGAGCCCAUGCCACAUCCUGAGCCUAAACCUGAACCAAAGCCCAUGCCGGAGCCAAAGCCAAUGCCACAUCCAGAGCCGAAACCUGAGCCCAUGCCUCACCCUGAACCGAAACCUGAGCCAAAGCCCGAACCUAAGCCUGAGCCAAAACCCAUGCCCGAGCCAAAACCUGAACCAAAACCCAUGCCCGAGCCUAAGCCGGAACCUAAGCCUGAGCCAAAACCUGAACCAAAACCUAAGCCUGAGCCAAAACCUGAACCAAAACCUAAGCCUGAGCCAAAACCCAUGCCCGAGCCGAAACCUGAACCAAAACCCAUGCCCGAGCCUAAGCCUGAGCCAACACCCGUGCCCGAGCCAAAGCCGGAACCUAAGCCCGAGCCGAAACCCAUGCCCGAGCCAAAACCCAAGCCCGAGCCAAAGCCGGAACCCAAGCCCGAGCCAAAGCCGGAACCUAAGCCCAAGCCGGAACCCAAGCCCGAGCCAAAGCCGGAACCUAAGCCCGAGCCGAAACCCAAGCCCGAGCCAAAGCCGGAACCCAAGCCCGAGCCAAAGCCCGAACCGAAGCCAAAGCCGAAGCCGGAACCUAAACCCGAGCCCAAGCCUGAACCAGAGCCGAAGCCGUAUCCUAAGCCGGAACCAAAACCCAAGCCAGAACCUAAGCCAGAACCCAAGCCAGAACCUAAGCCCGAACCCAAGCCCAAACCCGAGCCCAAGCCUGAGCCCAAGCCGAAGCCAGACCCGCCGCACAUCCCUCCCGCAGCUGACAACUGACGAAGUGGCCGCUAGCUGUUUUGUAUGACGUUGCAGAGUAUGGUAGUAUCUGAAUAAAACCGGCUGGACCGGGAGUUGCAUCAUCUAGAUUGGUGCUCGCUGC